rnacentral:rRNA from 1 species
AUUGAACGCUGGCGGCAGGCCUAACACAUGCAAGUCGAACGAGUGGCGGACGGGUGAGUAAUGUCUGGGAAACUGCCCGAUGGAGGGGGAUAACUACUGGAAACGGUAGCUAAUACCGCAUACCAUCGGAUGUGCCCAGAUGGGCUUAGCUAGUAGGGGGGGUAACGGGUCACCUAGGCGACGAUCCCUAGCUGGUCUGAGAGGAUGACCAGCGACACUGGAACUGAGACACGGUCCAGACUCCUACGGGAGGAAGCAGUGGGGAAUAUUGCACAAGGGGCGCAAGCCUGAUGAAGCCAUGCCGCGUGUAUGAAGAAGGCCUUCGGGUUGUAAAGUACUUUCAGCGAGGAGGCGUUACUCGCAGAAGAAGCACCGGCUAACUCCGUGCCAGCCGCCGCGGUAAUAC